rnacentral:lncRNA from 1 species
GCGGGGGCGGCCUGAGGAGCGCGCGCAGAUGCGGCCUGAGGAUUGCUCGGUGCAGAGGCGAGGUGUGCAGAUGCGGGGCGUUUUGGUUGACUGCUCGGUGGCAUUUUGCCUGUAAUUACGUGGUACAAUAGGGGUAUGGUAUUAAUCCGAAAGGUUUUCUUUUGUGGGAUUUGGUAGAAUCUUGAGAUUGUGGGAGAAACCAGGUUUUUCUCAGAUUUUGAAUUGCACUGAGAUUCUGCAGAAUCUGAUUCAGAUUUUGGUAGUUCAUUCGAGUUCUUUUGGCUCGGGAUUUUCGGGACUGAGAUUCUAUAGAAUCUGCUCAAAAGAAC